GAGAUAGUAAGUGUUUAAUGAGAGAGAUGAGUGAGGGGUUGAGUUUAAAUCCAGGAGUAAGAUGCAUUUCUAUAGUUGGGAAGAUACAACUUGUUUCUGAGAUCCUGUACUGUGAGAACUUUUCACGUGGAGUAUGUGCAAGGGAGGGUGCCAGUCUGCAGAACUGUGAAGACAGUAAAAUGCAAUUUAUACUCUUGCAAGAUAAUUGCUUAUAAUAUCAAACAUAAAACCAUUUCAAGGCUGGGAAAUGUGAGAAAAAGAUUCUUUACACUCUUGGUGGUGCUCAAAAGUGACCUACAAUCUGGUCCAACCAAAAGCGAAGUUGGGCGCAUCUGCAAGCACAUUACUGAAUAUCUUUGUUGCCUGGUUUUCUCCCAGGCUCCACUUUGGAGUAAGCCAGCUAUUUCCUUUCAAGAGGAGACCUAGAUACAGUUAACAUGAUAAUUUGUUCCAGGGUCUGUUCCUGACAGGCUGUAUGGAUGCAGCCCACGUCAAUGUUGACUCUUUCCAUCUAGGACAUUCCUCCUACAUUAUCCCAUGCGGUAAUGCAGCACAUAUCCGUGGUGUCAUGCUAUGAAAAACACAGCUGUACCAGACUGCAUCACAAUCCUCACUUUAUUUUAGGCAUUGUGAACUGGAAAAUGAUGACAAGUACUUAGCCUACCCUUGACCUAAAGGAAUCCCUACAGGAGUGGGAUGCCUUUAAUUUAUAGCCUCAGCCAGUACAUCCUGGGGAGCCUGGUGAGGUCAGUGCUGGCUGUUCUGUUGUGCCUUUAAAUGCUGAGAUUUCUCAGAUAUUAACACAGGAGAGAUCCUGUGAGACCAUUUGGAGAAUGUAAGGUGAAUAAAGUCUUCAUCUAUUGGUAUA